rnacentral:rRNA from 1 species
ACUUAAAAUUUAAAAGACUUGACGGUACCUCACAACAGCCUAGAGGAGCCUGUCCAAUAACCGAUACUCCACGAUCAACCCAACCCCCCCUAGCCCAACAGUCUAUAUACCGCCGUCGCCAGCCUACCUCAUGAGAGAAACAAAGUAAGCCAAACAGUCAUACGCUAGCACGACAGGUCGAGGUGUAACUAAUGGGGAGGAUUAAGAUGGGCUACAUUUUCUAAUACAGAAUAUACGAAUAAACUAUGAAACAAGAAACUGAAGGCGGAUUUAGCAGUAUAUUAAGAACAAAAUACAUAGUAGAAACCAACGCAAUGAGGUGCGUACACACCG